rnacentral:tRNA from 1 species
GGAGAGAUGGCCGAGUGGUCGAAGGCGCACGCCUGGAAAGCGUGUAUCCCAUGUGAAAUGGGAUCGAGGGUUCGAAUCCCUCUUUCUCCG